rnacentral:rRNA from 1 species
UACGUAGGUGGCAAGCGUUGUCCGGAUUUACUGGGCGUAAAGGAUGCGUAGGCGGACAUUUAUGUCAGAUGUGAAAUACCCGAGCUUAACUUGGGUGCUGCAUUUGAAACUGGGUGUCUAGAGUGCAGGAGAGGUAAGUGGAAUUCCUAGUGUAGCGGUGAAAUGCGUAGAGAUUAGGAAGAACACCAGUGGCGAAGGCGACUUACUGGACUGUAACUGACGCUGAGGCAUGAAAGCGUGGGGAGCAACCAGG